rnacentral:rRNA from 1 species
UACAGAGGGUGCGAGCGUUAAUCGGAAUUACUGGGCGUAAAGGGCGCGUAGGCGGUUGAUUAAGUUGGAUGUGAAAUCCCUGGGCUUAACCUAGGAACUGCAUACAAUACUGAUUGACUAGAGUGCUGUAGAGGGUAGUGGAAUUUCCGGUGUAGCGGUGAAAUGCGUAGAUAUCGGAAGGAACACCAGUGGCGAAGGCGGCUACCUGGACAGACACUGACGCUGAGGCGCGAGAGCGUGGGGAGCAAACAGG